rfam:Triticum aestivum genome assembly, contig: Triticum_aestivum_CS42_TGACv1_scaffold_146907_2BS
AUACUACUCCCUCCGUCCGAAAAUACUUGUCAUCAAAAUGGAUAAAAAAGGUUGUAUUUAGAACUAAAUACAUAUAGAUACAUCCGCUUUUGUUCAUUUUGAUGACAAGUAUUUCCGGACGGAGGGAGUAUUUC